GCUUGCAGCCAUAUCACCCUGCAACUCACAACUGGCAACCCACUGAAGCUAAGCAGGCAUGAGCCUGGUCAGUACCUGGAUGGGAGACCUCCUAGGGAAAACUGAGGUUGCUGCUGGAA
ensembl:rRNA 5S_rRNA 5S ribosomal RNA